rnacentral:tRNA from 1 species
GCCCGCAUGGCGGAACUGGUAGACGCUGCGGACUUAAAAUCCGUUUCCCUUGGGAGUCCCGGUUCGAUUCCGGGUGUGGGCACCA